rnacentral:rRNA from 1 species
UACGUAGGUGGCAAGCGUUGUCCGGAUUUACUGGGCGUAAAGAGCGCGCAGGCGGUCGUUCAAGUCGCGUGUGAAAGCCCCCGGCUCAACUGGGGAGGGUCAUUCGAUACUGUUCGACUCGAAGGCAGGAGAGGGAAGCGGAAUUCCCGGUGUAGUGGUGAAAUGCGUAGAUAUCGGGAGGAACACCAGUGGCGAAGGCGGCUUUCUGGCCUGUUCUUGACGCUGAGGCGCGAAAGCUAGGGGAGCGAACGGG